rnacentral:rRNA from 1 species
GACGAACGCUGGCGGCGUGCUUAACACAUGCAAGUCGAACGGAAAGGCCCUGCUUUUGUGGGGUGCUCGAGUGGCGAACGGGUGAGUAACACGUGAGUAACCUGCCCUUGACUUUGGAAUAACUUCAGGAAACUGGGGCUAAUACCGGAUAGGAGCUCCUGCUGCAUGGUGGGGGUUGGAAAGUUUCGGCGGUUGGGGAUGGACUCGCGGCUUAUCAGCUUGUUGGUGGGGUAGUGGCUUACCAAGGCUUUGACGGGUAGCCGGCCUGAGAGGGUGACCGGCCACAUUGGGACUGAGAUACGGCACAGACUCCUACGGGAGGCAGCAGUGGGGAAUAUUGCACAAUGGGCGGAAGCCUGAUGCAGCAACGCCGCGUGCGGGAUGACGGCCUUCGGGUUGUAAACCGCUUUCGCCUGUGACGAAGCGUGAGUGACGGUAAUGGGUAAAGAAGCACCGGCUAACUACGUG